UACGGAGGAUGCAAGCGUUAUCCGGAUUCACUGGGUUUAAAGGGUGCGCAGGCGGGAUGAUAAGUCAGAGGUGAAAUCCUACGGCUCAACUGUAGAACUGCCUUUGAUACUGUCGUUCUUGAGUAAAGUUGGAGUGGGCGGAAUGUGUUGUGUAGCGGUGAAAUGCUUAGAUAUAACACAGAACACCGAUCGCGAAGGCAGCUCACUAAGCUUUAACUGACGCUCAUGCACGAAAGCGUGGGGAUCAAACAGGAUUAGAUACCCUGGUAGUCCACGCUGUAAACGAUGAUCACUCGCUGUUGGCGAUACACUGCCAGUGGCUAAGCGAAAGUGAUAAGUGAUCCACCUGGGGAGUACGAUCGCAAGAUUGAA
rnacentral:rRNA from 1 species